rnacentral:rRNA from 1 species
AAUUAUCAGAGUAGCAAUACAAUGAUAGUUUAGUGGCGAACGGGUGCGUAACACGUGGAUACAUUCCGGGAAGCGGGGGAUAGCCCAGGGAAACUUGGAUUAAUACCGCAUGUGGUCGAAAGACUAAAGGCAGGGACCGCAAGGCCUGCCACUUCCCGAUUGGUCCGCGGCCUAUCAGCUAGUUGGCGGGGUAAAAGCCCACCAAGGCUACGACGGGUAGCUGGUCUUAGAGGACGACCAGCCACACUGGAACUGAGACACGGUCCAGACACCUACGGGUGGCAGCAGUCGAGAAUCUUUCACAAUGGGGGCAACCCUGAUGGAGCGACGCCGCGUGGAGGAUAAGGUCUUCGGAUUGUAAACUCCUGUCAUGCGAGAACAAGGUUGUGGGGUUAAUAGCUCUGCAAAUUGAUGGUACCGCAAGAGGAAGAGACGGCUAACUCUGUGCCAGCAGCCGCGGUAAUACAGAGGUCUCAAGCGUUGUUCGGAAUCACUGGGCGUAAAGGGUGCGUAGGUGGCGUGGUAAGUCAGAUGUGAAAGCCCGGGGCUCAACCUCGGAAUUGCAUCCGAUACUGCCGUGCUAGAGUACUGAAGAGGUGACUAGAAUUCUCGGUGUAGCAGUGAAAUGCGUAGAUAUCGAGAGGAAUACCAACGGCGAAGGCAGGUCACUGGGCAGUUACUGACACUGAGGCACGAAGGCCAGGGGAGCAAACGGGAUUAGAUACCCCGGUAGUCCUGGCAGUAAACGGU